rnacentral:rRNA from 1 species
CCUACGGGUGGCAGCAGUGAGGAAUAUUGGUCAAUGGGCGCGAGCCUGAACCAGCCAAGUAGCGUGAAGGAUGACUGCCCUACGGGUUGUAAACUUCUUUUAUAAAGGAAUAAAGUGAGGCACGUGUGCCUUUUUGUAUGUACUUUAUGAAUAAGGAUCGGCUAACUCCGUGCCAGCAGCCGCGGUAAUACGGAGGAUCCGAGCGUUAUCCGGAUUUAUUUGGUUUAAAGGGAGCGUAGAUGGGUUGUUAAGUCAGUUGUGAAAGUUUGGGGCUCAACCGUAAAAUUGCAAUGGAUACUGGCAGCCUUGAGUACAAUUGAGGUAGGCGGAAUGCGUGGUGUAGCGGUGAAAUGCUUAGAUAUCACGAAGAACUCCGAUUGCGAAGGCAGCCUACUAAACUGCCACUGACAUUGAGGCACGAAAGUGUGGGUAUCAAACAGGAUUAGAUACCCUGGUAGUC